CACGUAGGGGGCAAGCGUUGUCCGGAUUUAUUGGGCGUAAAGAGCUCGUAGGCGGUCUGUUGCGUCGGCUGUGAAAACCCGGGGCUCAACUCCGGGCCUGCAGCCGAUACGGGCAGACUAGAGUUCGGCAGGGGAGACUGGAAUUCCUGGUGUAGCGGUGAAGUGCGCAGAUAUCAGGAGGAACACCGGUGGCGAAGGCGGGUCUCUGGGCCGAUACUGACGCUGAGGAGCGAAAGCGUGGGGAGCGAACAGG
rnacentral:rRNA from 1 species